CAGUCAGUUGAGUCAGUUGACCUUCAACAAGCCAUGUUCCCUGCAUCUCUGCUGCUGCUGGCAGCUGCAUCCUGUGUGUUCUGCCAGAUUGAACUCAAACAGCAAGACUCUAUGACUGUAAAGCCUGGACAGUCUCUGACCCUCUCCUGUAAAGUCUCUGGGUAUUCUCUAACCGAUACCAGCUACUGUACAUACUGGGUACGACAGCCUGCUGGAAAAGCUUUAGAGUGGAUUGGAGGAAUAUGUGGCGAUGGUAACACAUAUUAUGGUGAUAAGUUCAAGAACAAGUUCAGUUCCUCCAGAGACACUUCCAGCAGCACAGCAACUCUAACAGGACAACGUCUGCAGACUGAAGAUACAGCUGUGUAUUAUUGUGCUCGAGAGUCACAGUGA